CUCGUAGGCGGUUUGUUAAGUCGGAUGUGAAAGCCCUGGGCUCAACCUGGGAACUGCAUUCGAUACUGGCAAACUAGAGUAUAGAAGAGGCAAGUGGAAUUCCAGGUGUAGCGGUGAAAUGCGUAGAUAUCUGGAGGAACAUCAGUGGCGAAGGCGACUUGCUGGUCUAAUACUAACGCUGAGGAGCGAAAGCGUGGGGAGCAAACAGGAUUAGAUACCCUGGUAGUCC
rnacentral:rRNA from 1 species